AGUGAACGCUGGCGGUAGGCCUAACACAUGCAAGUCGAACGGCAGCACAGUAAGAGCUUGCUCUUACGGGUGGCGAGUGGCGGACGGGUGAGGAGUACAUCGGAAUCUACUUUUUCGUGGGGGAUAACGUAGGGAAACUUACGCUAAUACCGCAUACGACCUACGGGUGAAAGCAGGGGAUCGUCGGACCUUGCGCGAUUGAAUGAGCCGAUGUCGGAUUAGCUAGUUGGCGGGGUAAAGGCCCACCAAGGCGACGAUCCGUAGCUGGUCUGAGAGGAUGAUCAGCCACACUGGAACUGAGACACGGUCCAGACUCCUACGGGAGGCCGCAGUGGGGAAUAUUGGACAAUGGGCGCAAGCCUGAUCCAGCCAUACCGCGUGGGUGAAGAAGGCCUUCGGGUUGUAAAGCCCUUUUGUUGGGAAAGAAAAGCAUCAGGUUAAUACCCCGCUGUUCUGACGGUACCCAAAGAAUAAGCACCGGCUAACUUCGUG
rnacentral:rRNA from 1 species